GCAUAUCAAUAAGCGGAGGAAAAGAAACCAACCGGGAUUGCCUUAGUAACGGCGAGUGAAGCGGCAAAAGCUCAAAUUUGAAAUCUGGCGUCUUCGACGUCCGAGUUGUAAUUUGAAGAAGGCAACUUUGUAGCUGGUCCUUGUCUAUGUUCCUUGGAACAGGACGUCAUAGAGGGUGAGAAUCCCGUGUGGCGAGGAUCCCAGUUAUUUGUAAAGUGCUUUCGACGAGUCGAGUUGUUUGGGAAUGCAGCUCUAAGUGGGUGGUAAAUUCCAUCUAAAGCUAAAUAUUGGCGAGAGACCGAUAGCGAACAAGUACAGUGAUGGAAAGAUGAAAAGAACUUUGAAAAGAGAGUGAAAAAGUACGUGAAAUUGUUGAAAGGGAAGGGCAUUUGAUCAGACAUGGCGUUUGCUUCGGCUUUCGCUGGGCCAGCAUCAGUUUUAGCGGUUGGAUAAAUCCUCGGGAAUGUGGCUCUGCUUCGGUAGAGUGUUAUAGCCCGUGGGAAUACAGCCAGCUGGGACUGAGGAUUGCGACUUUUGUCAAGGAUGCUGGCGUAAUGGUUAAAUGCCGCCCGUCUUGAAACACGGACCAAGGAGUCUAACGUCUAUGCGAGUGUUUGGGUGUAAAACCCGUACGCGUAAUGAAAGUGAACGUAGGUGAGGGCCCGCAAGGGUGCAUCAUCGACCGAUCCUGAUGUCUUCGGAUGGAUUUGAGUAAGAGCAUAGCUGUUGGGACCCGAAAGAUGGUGAACUAUGCCUGAAUAGGGUGAAGCCAGAGGAAACUCUGGUGGAGGCUCGUAGCGGUUCUGACGUGCAAAUCGAUCGUCGAAUUUGGGUAUAGGGGCGAAAGACUAAUCGAACCAUCUAGUAGCUGGUUCCUGCGA
rnacentral:rRNA from 1 species